UAUUGUAACUUUUUUUUUUUUUUUUUUUUUUUUUUUUUUUGGGUGUAAAUGUUAAGAUUUAUACCAUUUUUUUAGAGUUUACAAUGUUGUGAAGCACAACUUAUUACAAAGAAAGAAAAGGAGCAAGGGAGAGAGCAAUAUAAAGAGAGAAGGAUUAACUAUAAGGGGUAAGGAACCAAAAGUACAACUCCAACAAAGAAGGAUGAUGAGCCGCGGAUGAAGGACGAGAUAGUGAAAGCAGCCUAUCUCUCAUGGCACGGUCCACUACUCGGAAGAACGCCUCUUGAGAUGAAGACACACUUGUGAAGAUGCGAGCAUUUCUUUCACGCCAAAGGUUGUAGAUGAUCAGUUGGUUGAGAAGCUUGAGCACCGUGAUUGCCCUUGAGGCAUGAGGUCCAGGGAGCCGCUGGCAGAGGAGAACAACUUCUGCAAGUGAGGCAGGAAGAGACGCCAAGUACCUGCCACAGACACCGUGUAUUGUAACUUUGAUAUGAUUAGCGUUCAAACUUUCUCUUACGGAAAAUAACCAAUCAUGUGGCACAUCAAAUCAGUAAAGAGAAACCUAAACCAAGAAGAAGCAGCAAUUAUAAGGGUAGUCCACCUCAAUAAUUGUUUCAUCGUAAUCACUGUAUAUUAUUUGAGAAGCAUUACAACAACUUUUUGUAGCCACGUAUCAUCACUAGAAUGAUUCUUAGAAUCCUUAGAGAAAUAGAUUGGUUCAUCUAAAUCUACUCUAUACUAAAAGGAACAAAUAGAGUGUUUUAAGCCUGUCCACGUCGGAUGGGAAAUUCUAGCCAAUCAGAUUGCAGGUUUGAUCCACGUCAUUACGAAUUGAUAUGGUUUGGGCUUUUGUUGUUUAUUUUUUAAAUCGUAGAGUAAAAAAUGGGCCUAAACCCUAAGUCCCACCGUUUGUCAGAGACCACGAACAGACUGCCCACAACACGAAAAGUUCGAACAUGAAACGAUUGUAAUUAAGAUUCUCCAUUAAUUUCUAUACCAACCCCUUCCUCUACGUUACAUUUAAUUUUUUCUUUUUCUACCUAAAAAAACUUUAGAGAUAUAUACACUAUAAAUAAUGAGGAUGCUGUGAUCAAAUCUCUUCCAUUCAAUUAACCUGCAACAAUGUUGACCUCUCAUCUCCUCUCCUGCUGUCAGAUUUGAAGUCCGGUUGUUCUCCGCAGGCAGACGGUGGUCAUGCUCUUGAUUAAUGAAAAAUUCAUCAAUAGCUAUUUGCUUCACCUAAUCGACAUUACAUACGGAGCUCUUUAGGUUUUGUUGAUAUGAAUAAUUGAUGGUGUCUCCACGAUUAAUUGGGCCAUUUGUAAGGCUAUUGAUCUGUUGGAAAUGCUAAAGAGAGAAGAGGAAAUGCUUUCUGCAAUCAAGGAAAAACAGUUGAAGGGGCUCUUGAUGAUCGCACAUAGAAAGCUGAAUCUGGCGCACAUAUUUUUCGAAUGUUCAACAUGGAUGACCAAUGUUUUUCUUCAAGAUGUAAUCAAAGAAAUCAAUAAAGACAAUUUAAAGAUUUGCCUCUUGACAUGUAUUUCACUGAUGUUUGUCUUUUCGAGCUGUUAUGGUUACCCAAAAUGCAGGAUGGAUGUUUGAGUAUGGAGAAUAUGUUGCGAUGAUGUAAAAGGGAAAUGCUGGUGUCAAGAGACAUGAAUGAGAAAUAGCCUAAACAUCAACAUGAGAAAUGUGUAGGCACAUACACAAUACCCACAUCAGCGUCUUUGGAACAUUUACCGUUGUGGCUGCUAAUGUUUGUAAUCUUGAACUACAGAGAAGGCUGCAAGUGAAACAGGAUUCAGUGAUUCAUAGGUGCAAGAAGGCAGUUGAAUCUUUAGAAGGUUUAAGUUUAAAAUGUAAAAGAAAAACCAAUGUCUCAUCAUCAUUAGUUGUGAGGACUAUUUCAAAUGUCUCUGUUUUAUUUGUAACAACAGUUACAAGUUUGGUAAGUUUUGUUUAAUCUUCAUUCUUCAAAUCUUUGACCUUUUUGGGUUUUUGAGAGAAAACCAGCUACCAUUAGAGCACAGUUGUUAUACAACUUAUGUGACCUAUAAUACAUAUUUUUUUUCUCUAA